rnacentral:rRNA from 1 species
UAUAAGAGGUCCCGCCUGCCCAGUGACCAUAUGUUUAACGGCCGCGGUACUUUGACCGUGCGAAGGUAGCGCAAUCACUUGUCUUUUAAAUGAAGACCUGUAUGAAUGGCAUGACGAGGGCUUAACUGUCUCCUUUUUCCAGUCAAUGAAAUUGAUCUUCCCGUGCAGAAGCGGGAAUAAUAUCAUAAGACGAGAAGACCCUGUGGAGCUUCAGACACUAAAUCAGCCCUUGUCCAAAAAUCCCAAUUAAGGGACUGAACACUAGAGUGAAACCUGAUUUAACGUCUUCGGUUGGGGCGACCUUGGGGAAAGAAAAACCCCCACGCGGAACAGAAGUAUUAUACUUCCAAAACUAAGAGCCGCCACUCAAAGUAUCAGAAAUUCUGACCAACUAUAUGAUCCGGCCUAGAACGCCGAUCAACGGACCGAGUUACCCCAGGGAUAACAGCGCAAUCCUCUUUUAGAGCCCAUAUCGACAAGAGGGUUUACGACCUCGAUGUUGGAUCAGGACAUCCUAAUGGUGCAGCCGCUAUUAAGGGUUCGUUUGUUCAACGAUUAAAGUCCU